UCAAGAAUCCCAACUCGUCUUUGGCUAAGGCUCAUAAGGAGGCCGUGGGUUAGAUGCAGCGCUGACUGCAUCAAAUCUAUCUUUAUUGUCGACCCAGCAAAUCGAUGACAACCUAGACAACGACGUCGUCAAGACAUCGAUUGUGCCACCCAAUUCCUUCAUUGGCAGCUCUCUGCACAACCUCAAUGUCGUCAAUGACAACAUGGAUAACGACGACAUUUUGUCCCUUCAAGCAAAUGUGAAAUGUGAAACAGUGGUGCUUUGUUUUGGUCUUAGAUACAUCCUCCUCUUCCUCUCCGCCACUCUCGCCGACUUCUUCAUCCUCAUAAACUUCAAAUUCAAGCAGCCCUAAUUGACCCCCAUCGAUGAUAACACUCACCUCAAAAAUCUCAAAAACUCCUUCAAUCGAUUUUCGAAGGUUUGCUUAGCCAUGGAAUCUGGGUUCUGGACUUUUGUGGACAUGACCAGUUCGAAUUAAUGUAAAGGUAUGGUCAUUAGAAUCAUUGAUUCUGGUGUGUGGCCAGAAUACCCUAGCUUUGAAGAUCAUGGCAUGUCCCAGGAAAUACCAAGUAAAUGGAAAUGUUCGUGUAAAGACGCUAGAGAAGAUUUUAAUUCUUCUCUCUGUAACUUCAAGCUUGUUGGAGUGAAACACUUCAACAAAGGUUUGUUAGCUUCAAACAAAAUCAUGAAAAUAGAUGGAGAGUUCAGCUAAGGAAACUAUAGUUUAUAGGUCAUAGGAACCUUUAUUGCCGUAGGCAAUUAUGUACAAGGUGUUCAACAGAUUCAACAAAUUGAC